UCUCUCUCUCUCUCUCUCUCCAUAAACCACUGAAAUUACAGUUUUGCCCCUCUCCCUUCCGGAUGUGUCUCUACUCUCUAGGGUUUCGAUCGACGACAGUGACAAUGUCCCUCUCUGUAUUCUUCCACAGCUUUCUUGAACUGCUUAUUCGAUUCUCAGAUCGGUUCCCAUUUCGAUUUGGGUCUCUUGAUUCAGAUCGUUUUCCGUUUAUACAUGGGAAUGUUUAAAAAAAAAAGUUUUCGAUCUUUGUCGGAAUUUCGCGGUUCAAUAAAGCUGUGGGAAAAUACAGGCAGGGCCAAAUAUAUACAGUGUUCAUACGACCGAUCGGUUCAUGUUUCCAUGUGGGUGUGAAAUUAUCUAACGAUGAAAGAAAUGUUACGCAGAUUGUAACAUGAUCUAUGUAUGAUAUAUCCCUUUCAUCCAUCCAAAGUUACAGCAAUGAUUUAGAGUCGAAUAUGCAUAUACAAAUACAUACAUAUAUAUAUAUAUAUGUAUGUAUAUAAUUAAGUUUGUUGUUUUGAACAUUAAUUUUAGAUCAUGGACCACAUAUUCAAUAUAUACAUAUAUAGUUGAGGUCG